rnacentral:rRNA from 1 species
UAAGCAGGGUAUGAAAUCGUAAGGCUCAACCUUACGACUGUGCCCUGAACUGGCAGACUAGAGUGUGGUAGAGGUAGCUGGAAUUUCUAGUGUAGGAGUGAAAUCCGUAGAUAUUAGAAGGAACACCGAUGGCGUAGGCAGGCUACUGGGCCAUUACUGACACUGAGGCACGAAAGCGUGGGGAGCGAACCGGAUUAGAUACCCGGGUAGUCCACGCCGUAAACGAUGGAUGCUA